CAGCAGUGGGGAAUAUUGCACAAUGGGGGAAACCCUGAUGCAGCGACGCCGCGUGGAGGAAGAAGGUUUUCGGAUUGUAAACUCCUGUCGUUAGGGACGAUAAUGACGGUACCUAACAAGAAAGCACCGGCUAACUACGUGCCAGCAGCCGCGGUAAAACGUAGGGUGCAAGCGUUGUCCGGAAUUACUGGGUGUAAAGGGAGCGCAGGCGGACCGGCAAGUUGGAAGUGAAAACUAUGGGCUCAACCCAUAAAUUGCUUUCAAAACUGCUGGCCUUGAGUAGUGCAGAGGUAGGUGGAAUUCCCGGUGUAGCGGUGGAAUGCGUAGAUAUCGGGAGGAACACCAGUGGCGAAGGCGACCUACUGGGCACCAACUGACGCUGAGGCUCGAAAGCAUGGGUAGCAAACAGGAUUAGAUACCCUGGUAGUCCAUGCCGUAAACGAUGAUUACUAGGUGUUGGAGGAUUGACCCCUUCAGUGCCGCAGUUAACACAAUAAGUAAUCCACCUGGGGAGUACGACCGCAAGGUUGAAACUCAAAGGAAUUGACGGGGGCCCGCACAAGCAGUGGAGUAUGUGGUUUAAUUCGAAGCAACGCGAAGAACCUUACCAGGUCUUGACAUCCGAUGCAUAGUGCAGAGAUGCAUGAAGUCCUUCGGGACAUCGAGACAGGUGGUGCAUGGUUGUCGUCAGCUCGUGUCGUGAGAUGUUGGGUUAAGU
rnacentral:rRNA from 1 species